rnacentral:rRNA from 1 species
AGAGUUUGAUCCUGGCUCAGGACGAACGCUGGCGGCGUGCUUAACACAUGCAAGUCGAACGAUGAAGCCCAGCUUGCUGGGUGGAUUAGUGGCGAACGGGUGAGUAACACGUGAGUAACCUGCCCCUGACUCUGGGAUAAGCGUUGGAAACGACGUCUAAUACUGGAUAUGACCGCCGAUCGCAUGGUCUGGUGGUGGAAAGAUUUUUUGGUUGGGGAUGGACUCGCGGCCUAUCAGCUUGUUGGUGAGGUAAUGGCUCACCAAGGCGACGACGGGUAGCCGGCCUGAGAGGGUGACCGGCCACACUGGGACUGAGACACGGCCCAGACUCCUACGGGAGGCAGCAGUGGGGAAUAUUGCACAAUGGGCGAAAGCCUGAUGCAGCAACGCCGCGUGAGGGAUGACGGCCUUCGGGUUGUAAACCUCUUUUAGUAGGGAAGAAGCGUAAGUGACGGUACCUGCAGAAAAAGCACCGGCUAACUACGUGCCAGCAGCCGCGGUAAUACGUAGGGUGCAAGCGUUGUCCGGAAUUAUUGGGCGUAAAGAGCUCGUAGGCGGUUUGUCGCGUCUGCUGUGAAAUCCCGAGGCUCAACCUCGGGCUUGCAGUGGGUACGGGCAGACUAGAGUGCGGUAGGGGAGAUUGGAAUUCCUGGUGUAGCGGUGGAAUGCGCAGAUAUCAGGAGGAACACCGAUGGCGAAGGCAGAUCUCUGGGCCGUAACUGACGCUGAGGAGCGAAAGCGUGGGGAGCGAACAGGAUUAGAUACCCUGGUAGUCCACGCCGUAAACGUUGGGCGCUAGAUGAAAUGGACCUUUCCACGGUUUCUGUGUCGUAGCUAACGCAUUAAGCGCCCCGCCUGGGGAGUACGGCCGCAAGGCUAAAACUCAAAGGAAUUGACGGGGGCCCGCACAAGCGGCGGAGCAUGCGGAUUAAUUCGAUGCAACGCGAAGAACCUUACCAAGGCUUGACAUACACCGGAAACGGCCAGAGAUGGUUGAAAAUUGUGGUCGGUGUACAGGUGGUGCAUGGUUGUCGUCAGCUCGUGUCGUGAGAUGUUGGGUUAAGUCCCGCAACGAGCGCAACCCUCGUUCUAUGUUGCCAGCGCGUUAUGGCGGGGACUCAUAGGAGACUGCCGGGGUCAACUCGGAGGAAGGUGGGGAUGACGUCAAAUCAUCAUGCCCCUUAUGUCUUGGGCUUCACGCAUGCUACAAUGGCCGGUACAAAGGGCUGCGAUACCGUAAGGUGGAGCGAAUCCCAAAAAGCCGGUCUCAGUUCGGAUUGAGGUCUGCAACUCGACCUCAUGAAGUCGGAGUCGCUAGUAAUCGCAGAUCAGCAACGCUGCGGUGAAUACGUUCCCGGGCCUUGUACACACCGCCCGUCAAGUCAUGAAAGUCGGUAACACCCGAAGCCGGUGGCCUAACCCUUGUGGAAGGAGCCGUCGAAGGUGGGAUGUAACAAGGUAGCCGUACCGGAAGGUGCGGCUGGAU